AGUUACCUGAUCUCCUGUCGGAAUCUGGCACAGACACAUUCCAGAGAACUUUCUACUUAUAGACCAAAAUCAAGUACUCAUGAAGUAAGGUAGACUAAAAGGCAGCACACAUGGCCAAGCCAAUCAAGAGCAAAUACCCAUGGAACAGAUACAUCACAAGCAACACUUGUGAAACAAGGUGGACCAAGGGCAAGCACUCAUGGAGCAAGAUGAACCAAGAGCAAGCACUCAUAGAACAAGGAGGACCAAGAGCAAGCACUCAUGGAGCAAGGUGGACCAAGAGCAAGCACUCAUAGAGCAAGGUGGACCAAGAGCAAGCACUCAUAGAGCAAGGUGGACCAAGAGCAACACCCAUAGAACAAGGUGGACAAAGAGCAAGCACUCAUGGAGCAAGGUGGACCAAGAGCAAGCACUCAUAGAGCAAGGUGGACCAAGAGCAAGCACUCAUGGAGCAAGAAAAAAUUGGAUGUUGACGAGCACUGUUGGAAGAUAGAAAUAAAGGCUGACACACAGGGGAAGUGUACAGAAUAGUGUAAUGCACUCAGAUUGUGUGUUUAUAUGUACACACAAAAAU